rnacentral:rRNA from 1 species
GAACGGAAAGGCCCUUCGGGGUACUCGAGUGGCGAACGGGGAGUAACACGUGGGUGAUCUGCCCUGCACUCUGGGAUAAGCCUGGGAAACUGGGUCUAAUACCGGAUAGGACCACACACUUCAUGGUGAGUGGUGCAAAGCUUUUGCGGUGUGGGAUGAGCCCGCGGCCUAUCAGCUUGUUGGUGGGGUAAUGGCCCACCAAGGCGACGACGGGUAGCCGGCCUGAGAGGGUGACCGGCCACACUGGGACUGAGAUACGGCCCAGACUCCUACGGGAGGCAGCAGUGGGGAAUAUUGCACAAUGGGCGCAAGCCUGAUGCAGCGACGCCGCGUGAGGGAUGACGGCCUUCGGGUUGUAAACCUCUUUCAGUAGGGACGAAGCGAAAGUGACGGUACCUACAGAAAAAGGACCGGCCAACUACGUGCCAGCAGCCGCGGUAAUACGUAGGGUCCGAGCGUUGUCCGGAAUUACUGGGCGUAAAGAGCUCGUAGGUGGUUUGUCGCGUUGUUCGUGAAAACUCACAGCUUAACUGUGGGGGUGCGGGCGAUACGGGCAGACUAAAGUACUGCAGGGAAGACUGGAAUUCCUGGGGUAGCGGUGGAAUGCACAAAUAUCGGGAGGAACACCGGGUGGCAAAGGCGGUUCUCUGGGCAGUAACUGACGCUGAGGAGCGAAAGCGGGGGUAGAAAACAGGAUUAAAUCCCCUGGGUACCCCAAA